AAGUGGCUGGAGAGAAUGACUUUGGCGCCGUUUUGGAUGAGAUGUUUGAUGGUGGGAAUGGCGGCGCGGAUUCUGGUGUCGUCGGUGAUGUUCUGGUUGUCGUCGAGCGGGACGUUGAGGUCGGCCCUGACGAAGACCUUCUUCCCCUUCAGGUCCGCCGCGCUCAGGUCCCCCACGCUCUUCUUCGCCAUCGACACCACCCCCCUCGCGCCCUUUCCUCCUCCUCUCACCGCCGCCACGCGCGCCGCUACACUCGCCGCGAGCAGCGGGUCCGCCGCGGCGAAGCCCAGGCGGCGCAGCGGGCGGGCGCGGAGGGAGGAGGUGAGCUGCACGCGCGAGGGGGAGGGGGAGGCGGAGGUGGCGGUGGAGGAGGAGGAAGGGGUGGCGGAGUGGAGGAGAGAGAAAGUGGUGGGGGAUGCGGCUGAGGCCAUUGUAGAGAGAGAAAGAGAGAGUGUUUGAGUUUGAGUGUGUUUGGGAAUUUAACG
rnacentral:lncRNA from 1 species